rnacentral:rRNA from 1 species
CCUACGGGAGGCUGCAGUGGGGAAUAUUGCACAAUGGGCGCAAGCCUGAUGCAGCCAUGCCGCGUGUGUGAAGAAGGCCUUCGGGUUGUAAAGCACUUUCAGCGGGGGGGAAGGCGGUGAGGUUAAUAACCUCAUCGAUUGACGUUACCCGCAGAAGAAGCACCGGCUAACUCCGUGCCAGCAGCCGCGGUAAUACGGAGGGUGCAAGCGUUAAUCGGAAUUACUGGGCGUAAAGCGCACGCAGGCGGUCUGUCAAGUCGGAUGUGAAAUCCCCGGGCUCAACCUGGGAACUGCAUUCGAAACUGGCAGGCUAGAGUCUUGUAGAGGGGGGUAGAAUUCCAGGUGUAGCGGUGAAAUGCGUAGAGAUCUGGAGGAAUACCGGUGGCGAAGGCGGCCCCCUGGACAAAGACUGACGCUCAGGUGCGAAAGCGUGGGGAGCGAACAGGAUUAGAUACCCGAGUAGUC